rnacentral:rRNA from 1 species
UACAGAGGGUGCGAGCGUUAAUCGGAAUUACUGGGCGUAAAGCGCGCGUAGGCGGUUUUGCAAGUCGGGUGUGAAAUCCCCAAGCUUAACUUGGGAACUGCAUUCGAGACUGCAUGGCUAGAGUAUGGGAGAGAGAAGUGGAAUUUCCGGUGUAGCGGUGAAAUGCGUAGAUAUCGGAAGGAACAUCAGUGGCGAAAGCGACUUCUUGGACCAAUACUGACGCUCAAGUGCGAAAGCGUGGGGAGCAAACAGG